CAUUAAUGAAAUUGGGUUUCUGUGCCGCCUUUAACGAGGAUUGUGCACGCUACCCUUAAUCCUUUUAACACCUGUGCACAUUGAGAGAAUUGUCUGACCUAGUUGGACGAAUCUCUAUUACAAACUCAUAGUCAAUUGAAUGUUCAUUGGCCGAAAGGCUCUAAAUAAAACAACUUUUAACAACGGAUCUCUUGGCUCUCGCAUCGAUGAAGAACGCAGCGAAAUGCGAUAAGUAAUGUGAAUUGCAGAAUUCAGUGAAUCAUCGAAUCUUUGAACGCACCUUGCGCUCCCUGGUAUUCCGGGGAGCACGCCUGUUCGAGUGUCAUGAAGCUCUCAAGCAGUAUACCUUUAUUGUUAUACUUGUUUGGAUUUGAACUUUGCCGUGUUACAGCGGCUGGUUCUAAAAGCAUUAGCUGGUCCUUGAUUUUCUUGGUUCUACUCGGCGUGAUAAUUAUCUAACGUUGAGGACAUUUCUUUAUUGAGAUGGCCAGGGUUCUCUAUGGAUUGCUUCUAAUCGUCCUUCAUAAGACAAUACAUUUUCAAUACUGACCUCGAAUCAGGUGGGACUACCC
rnacentral:rRNA from 1 species